GUUGUAUGGUUAAGUGACUAAGCGUACACGGUGGAUGCCUUGGCAGUCAGAGGCGAUGAAGGACGUAUUAACUUGCGAUAAGCCCAGAUUAGGUAGUAAAAACCAUUUGAGUCUGGGAUUUCCGAAUGGGGAAACCCACUAGCAUAAGCUAGUAUCGCUGCGUGAAUACAUAGCGCAGCGAGGCGAACCGGGGGAACUGAAACAUCUAAGUACCCCGAGGAAAAGAAAUCAACCGAGAUUCCGAAAGUAGCGGCGAGCGAAAUUGGACUAGCCCUUAAGCUUUUUAUGCGUCAGGUGAAACUUCUGGAAAGUUGUGCGAUACAGGGUGAUAGCCCCGUAACCGGCAACGCAUUUAAAGUGAAAUCGAGUAGGGCGGGACACGUGAUAUCCUGUCUGAAUAUGGGGGGACCAUCCUCCAAGGCUAAAUACUACUGACUGACCGAUAGUGAACCAGUACCGUGAGGGAAAGGCGAAAAGAACCCCUGUGAGGGGAGUGAAAUAGAACCUGAAACCGUGUACGUACAAGCAGUAGGAGCACCUUCGUGGUGUGACUGCGUACCUUUUGUAUAAUGGGUCAGCGACUUAUAUUCAGUGGCAAGGUUAACCAUCUAGGGGAGCCGUAGGGAAACCGAGUCUUAACUGGGCGUUCAGUCUCUGGAUAUAGACCCGAAACCAGGUGAUCUAGCCAUGGGCAGGUUGAAGGUUGAGUAACAUCAACUGGAGGACCGAACCGACUAAUGUUGAAAAAUUAGCGGAUGACUUGUGGCUAGGGGUGAAAGGCCAAUCAAACCUGGAGAUAGCUGGUUCUCCCCGAAAGCUAUUUAGGUAGCGCCUCGGACGAAUACUACUGGGGGUAGAGCACUGUUAAGGCUAGGGGGUCAUCCCGACUUACCAACCCUUUGCAAACUCCGAAUACCAGUAAGUACUAUCCGGGAGACACACGGCGGGUGCUAACGUCCGUCGUGGAGAGGGAAACAACCCAGACCGCCAGCUAAGGUCCCAAAUUACUACUAAGUGGGAAACGAUGUGGGAAGGCUCAGACAGCCAGGAUGUUGGCUUAGAAGCAGCCAUCAUUUAAAGAAAGCGUAAUAGCUCACUGGUCGAGUCGGCCUGCGCGGAAGAUGUAACGGGGCUAAGUAGUAAACCGAAGCUGCGGCAAUGCACUUUAGUGCAUUGGGUAGGGGAGCGUUCUGUAAGCGGUUGAAGGUGUGUGGUAACGCAUGCUGGACGUAUCAGAAGUGCGAAUGCUGACAUGAGUAACGAUAAAGGGGGUGAAAAACCUCCUCGCCGGAAGACCAAGGGUUCCUGUCCAACGUUAAUCGGGGCAGGGUAAGUCGACCCCUAAGGCGAGGCCGAAAGGCGUAGUCGAUGGGAAACGGGUUAAUAUUCCCGUACUUCUUACAAUUGCGAUGGGGGGACGGAGAAGGCUAGGUGGGCCUGGCGACGGUUGUCCAGGUUCAAGUGCGUAGGCUUAAGAGUUAGGUAAAUCCGGCUCUUUCUAAGGCUGAGACACGACGUCGAGCUACUACGGUAGUGAAGUCAUUGAUGCCAUGCUUCCAGGAAAAGCCUCUAAGCUUCAGAUUGUAAGGAAUCGUACCCCAAACCGACACAGGUGGUCGGGUAGAGAAUACCAAGGCGCUUGAGAGAACUCGGGUGAAGGAACUAGGCAAAAUGGUACCGUAACUUCGGGAGAAGGUACGCUCUCGACGGUGAAGUCCCUCGCGGAUGGAGCUAUUGAGAGUCGCAGAUACCAGGUGGCUGCAACUGUUUAUUAAAAACACAGCACUGUGCAAAAUCGUAAGAUGACGUAUACGGUGUGACGCCUGCCCGGUGCCGGAAGGUUAAUUGAUGGGGUUAGACUUCGGUCGAAGCUCUUGAUCGAAGCCCCGGUAAACGGCGGCCGUAACUAUAACGGUCCUAAGGUAGCGAAAUUCCUUGUCGGGUAAGUUCCGACCUGCACGAAUGGCGUAAUGAUGGCCACGCUGUCUCCACCCGAGACUCAGUGAAAUUGAAAUCGCUGUGAAGAUGCAGUGUACCCGCGGCUAGACGGAAAGACCCCGUGAACCUUUACUACAGCUUGGCACUGAACAUUGACCCUACAUGUGUAGGAUAGGUGGGAGGCUUUGAAGCACAGUCGCUAGAUUGUGUGGAGCCGUCCUUGAAAUACCACCCUUGUAGUGUUGAUGUUCUAACGUUGACCCCUAAUCGGGGUUGCGGACAGUGCCUGGUGGGUAGUUUGACUGGGGCGGUCUCCUCCCAAAGCGUAACGGAGGAGCACGAAGGUGGGCUAAUCACGGUUGGACAUCGUGAGGUUAGUGCAAUGGCAUAAGCCCGCUUGACUGCGAGAAUGACGGUUCGAGCAGGUGCGAAAGCAGGUCAUAGUGAUCCGGUGGUUCUGAAUGGAAGGGCCAUCGCUCAACGGAUAAAAGGUACUCCGGGGAUAACAGGCUGAUACCGCCCAAGAGUUCAUAUCGACGGCGGUGUUUGGCACCUCGAUGUCGGCUCAUCACAUCCUGGGGCUGAAGUCGGUCCCAAGGGUAUGGCUGUUCGCCAUUUAAAGUGGUACGCGAGCUGGGUUUAGAACGUCGUGAGACAGUUCGGUCCCUAUCUGCCGUGGGCGUUGGAAGAUUGAAGGGGGCUGCUCCUAGUACGAGAGGACCGGAGUGGACGAACCUCUGGUGUUCGGGUUGUGUCGCCAGACGCAUUGCCCGGUAGCUAAGUUCGGAAUCGAUAACCGCUGAAAGCAUCUAAGCGGGAAGCGAGCCCUGAGAUGAGUCUUCCCUGAUACUUUAAGUAUCCUAAAGGGUUGUUCGAGACUAGAACGUUGAUAGGCAGGGUGUGUAAGCGUUGUGAGGCGUUGAGCUAACCUGUACUAAUUGCCCGUGAGGCUUAACCAUACAACACCCAAGGGGUUU
rnacentral:rRNA from 1 species